rnacentral:rRNA from 1 species
UCUCUUUGAAUCUGCGAACGGCUCCGCAAACCAGUUGUAAACUAUAGCAAGCAUGUCUCGGUGACGGCCGCAAGGUCGACAUCGGGAUAAUAAGGAUAACCCUGGUAAUUCUGAGGCUAAUACAAGAACGUAACCCCUGGUCGACCGGGCAACUGGAAGGCCGGGGAACGUGCGAUGCAGCGCAAAGAUUGCUGGGAAUAGGUGCACGUUCAGACCACCAUACCAAACGGUUGGCCCGGAGCUUCGGCGAAAGGCUUCCUGGGUGGCUCUUGCUGUGUGCUUCUGACCUAUCAACUAGAUGGCAGCGUAACGGACAUGCUAUGGUGACAACGGGUACAGAGGAUAAGGGUUCGAUCCUGGAGAGUGGGCCUGAGAGAUU